AAUACAUAUCUUUAAGUUACUUCCUAAUCCUAUCUAUUCUUCAAGGCCUAGCUGAAGCCUCACCUCCUUCAUGAAGAUUCCCCUAAGUACUUAAGCUGCCGGAACUCAUAAAUAAUUGCAGCGCGGGUCUUCCUCUAUGCCUGAUGCUGUUUGAUCACCAUCACCAUCACAAUCAUCAUCGUCAUCACAAUCAUCAUCAUCAUCUUCAUGCUCAAGAAGCAUUUAUUUGGUCCUUCUGGGAUGAAUGGGAGCAGCCCAAGCUUUACCUUCGGGUGAGAUGAGAAAUAGUUGGCUAUCAUUCUCUAUGUAAUAACCUUUCAUAUGUUUAAAGACUAUUUCCAGAGUCUAAGAUCAUUAAUUUUAAAAGAGCCUCAAACUUUGGACAAGGGCAAUUGCUACAGAGGAUGGAAUGAGAAGAAUGAUGGAGAACAUGUUAUGGGGAGAGGAGGGAGUGUGUAUGUUACCAGCUUACUACACAUCUCUCCACCCCGCAUAAUGCAGCAGGUAGAAGAUCCACAGGAGAAGGCACAAAUAAAUAUGCAGGUUAUUGGAGACAGCCACAGCCUACAAGAGCAAUUGUAUUGA
rnacentral:lncRNA from 1 species